rnacentral:rRNA from 1 species
GAUGAACGCUGGCGGCGUGCCUAAUACAUGCAAGUCGAGCGAACAGACGAGGAGCUUGCUCCUCUGACGUUAGCGGCGGACGGGUGAGUAACACGUGGAUAACCUACCUAUAAGACUGGGAUAACUUCGGGAAACCGGAGCUAAUACCGGAUAAUAUAUUGAACCGCAUGGUUCAAUAGUGAAAGACGGUUUUGCUGUCACUUAUAGAUGGAUCCGCGCCGCAUUAGCUAGUUGGUAAGGUAACGGCUUACCAAGGCAACGAUGCGUAGCCGACCUGAGAGGGUGAUCGGCCACACUGGAACUGAGACACGGUCCAGACUCCUACGGGAGGCAGCAGUAGGGAAGCUUCCGCAAUGGGCGAAAGCCUGACGGAGCAACGCAGCGUGAGUGAUGAAGGUCUUCGGAUCGUAAAACUCUGUUAUUAGGGAAGAACAAAUGUGUAAGUAACUAUGCACGUCUGGACGGUACCUAAGCAGAAAGCCACGGCUAACUACGU